GCAAAGCUAUGCUAUUAAAGUGCAAAGGACCCACCAUGUUGGAUGCGUCCCCAAGUGUGCGUCUAGGAGGACGUUGGUCUGCCAUCUCCUCAAUGUUCUGUGUAGAGGUCUCAAAUGAAGAGUGCAAAAGUUCUUCAGGAGAAGGAAAGUUUUCACUUGCAGGGCGUCUGACUUUCCUCCUUCUCCUGUCUGAGAUGAGGUUGCUGGUCUUUUCUGCUUCUAGUAUGUAUCAUUUCCUGCAUACACAAGAAAC
rnacentral:lncRNA from 1 species